UGGGGAAUAUUGGACAAUGGGGGCAACCCUGAUCCAGCGAUGCCGCGUGUGUGAAGAAGGCCUGAGGGUUGUAAAAGCACUUUUAGUGGGGAGGAUAAGUAUAUGGUUAAUAGCCAUGUAUUCAGACGUUACCCACCAUAAACAGCACCGGCUAACUCCGUGCCAGCAGCCGCGGUAAUACGGGGGGUGCAAGCGUUAAUCGGAGUUAUUGGGCGUAAAGGGUGCGUAGGUGGUUCAUUAAGUUAUGUGGGAAAUUCCUGGGCUCAACCUAGGAGUGUCGGAUGAUACUGGUGAACUUGAGUAUAGUAGAGGGUAGUGGAAUUUCCGGUGUAGCGGUGAAAUGCGUAGAGAUCGGAAGGAACACCAGUGGCGAAGGCGGCUACCUGGACUAAUACUGACACUGAGGCACGAAAGCGUGGGGAGCAAACAGGAUUAGAUACCCUGGUAGUCCACGCUGUAAACGAUGUCAACUAGCUGUUGGAUACUUAAAUGUAUUUAGUGGCGCAGCUAACGCGCUAAGUUGACCGCCUGGGGAGUACGAUCGCAAGAUUA
rnacentral:rRNA from 1 species